CUCGCGCUUGGAGCACUGCGCCGGCUUCCACCAGUCCCCAUUGUGGCAGUGGCAGAUGUUGCAGUCGUCCACCUUCACCUCGAUGCCGGCCGGGAUGAUGGUGGUUCCUGCAAAGCAGUUGGGACCUGCGGAAACACGUAGCUGUCCCCAUGAAGGGCUGCUCACAGCACGGGCACGAGGACCCAAAUCUCAACCAGAACACGCUCGGCCGACCCCCAGCAUCUCCUGGUGGCAUCUGAGGAGUGCAGGGCAGGGACUUGAGGCCCCUGAAUGAUGCCCGGGUCCCAGUGACGCAGAUGGAUUUAAUCCUCGCUGCUUCGCACCAUGCUUAGACUGUUACCUGCAGCUCGUUACCAGUCUUAAUCGUUGUCAAUCCCCCAAACAAAUCACAGAAUCACAGAAUGGGUUGACAAGGCCCUUUCAGGCCCGGCAGGGAGUUGCCCCACAGGCCUAUCCCUGACGGCCCUCAACCUCUCCACCUCCUCCUUGAGCCCUGCCACACCACAAGCAAUGCCUCAGCCAGUGCAACCACCACCUCUUAACUGAGGUUUCAGCAGUCACCUGGCCAAACGAGAAGGAUUAUCUCUUUAAAAUCCCUUUACAGACAGCAUAAAGCUUUGGGGGAAUAUGAGAGCUUUUUAAAAAUAUAGGUAGAUUUUAAUGGCGGGCAAUGAAAGCCACUCCUAGGUCAUGCUAACCUUUCAGGGUCGUAAUAGGCUUUUAAAAACUUGUCUAAAUGGGUAUUUCCCCAAAUGAACUCCAGCUGCUCUGAAAGUACAUUAAUUCUUUUAAUAGAUCCAACACGGCAAAUCUUUUUUUUUUUUUUUGGUGGGAGGAGGGGCUGGUAUAAAGGAUUAAUUUAAAAUAAAUCUAUGAAUAAAACUGCCAUGCAGGUACUGCCUCGUUAGCCCUGCCCACGCAAUGGUGUUGGGGCACCCGCUCACCUGCUGGGGCAGGGAUCAGGGGCUCCUGCAGGCAGCAGCAGCCCCGUGAGCACGGAGAUGUGGUGGGGAGCCCUCAUCUACUGAAGGAGGUGGCCCAACAGCCAUCGAGUCCCCAGUGUCUGGGGCUGUGCUCUCUGCCGGGGUGUCUCCAUUCAAAGGCCAAGGUUAACAGCAAAAGUAGAGCAGCCGGGACGUUUUCUCUGGCCCUUUGAGGUUUUUAGCCAACUUCCUCACCUCUUGGUUGUGCUCCGUAUGAAAAUUUAAUCAUUUUUACGGCCCAUUUAAACAUUUUUAUGUCUUUUUUUUUUUUUUCCUGCAGAAAAAAACCCCGCGUUUGAUGUAAGAAUUAAAACAGUAUUUCACCCCUAACUGCAAUCACAGAUGAUGUACGGAAGCGAGCUGGCUGCACGUCAAAUCAAUGUAAAGCCAGAACUGAAUAUAACUUGGUCACUACAGCUGUGCGAGAUGUUUUAUGCUUUUUUUUUUCUUUUUCUUUUCUGUAUCAGUCAUAAAACGAGGCGAAAACUGUGACUGUGCUGAUUUUGUAUAAAACAAGCUUUCCAAUACGUGACAGAGGAGGAAAAAGGAAAUGGGAUUAGUACAUAUGUAUCUGUGUGCUGCAUUUAAUGUGCAGUCUGGUGAAAAAUAAGAGAAAAUAAAGACGGAUGCUCGCUGGGCAGCACCUUUACAAGAAACGUGCCCUGAUCUCCUCUGCUGGGACCCGCACGGAUGUCUCCAGCAGCUGCAGGAGCAGCUUUGAUCCACGUUUCCGUCCCCUCAUCUCCCUCUUCCGAGGGCCCAUUACGCUACCUGAAUUUAAUGGUAUCCAUGGCACUUGCACAAUGCUUUCUAAUGGGGCCGUGCAAAGAGUCAGGUUGCUAAUAAAAUCAAAUGAGCAGCGCUGGUUUUGCAUGUGAAUGGUUGCAUUUAACGAAGCCAUCAAAUGGAAAGGGAUCGCACUUGCCGUCGCUAAUAAUGCCGGGUGCCACUACAAAUGCAUUACCACGAGCUAUGUGGGCUCCGACACGCAGGAGGAUGCCGGGUGACAUUACUCCGAUGUGACAGGGCGGGAGAGCUGUUUUGCACGGCGAGGUAGCAACUAGGAAUGAGGAAAGGCUGGGGGAAAUUUACGGCGGGUACAUGCGAUUCUCCAACACCCCCCCAAAUUUUCAGAACGCUUCAUUACCCCUCACGCUGCCGGUCUGUUUUCAUUAGGUGUCACUGGGUACAGCUGUUUUGUACUCUCUGGCCUUGGUGGCACCACUGGUCGAGCAGCUCACAACCUUUUUCCACUGCUCCUAGAGCUACACAGAGAAGACCUGGGGUGGUGCUGCCCAGGUAGGGGUGGGGAGGGCACAGCUGUGGGCACCCACCCACUCCUGUGGAUGGGGUGGAGCACCAAAACCCAGCAGAUUCACCGCACCAGCAGGGUUUUUCUGGGGGAUUUCGGCCGGCCAUCACCUUAUGCUGGCAUUACAGGGCACUGUUAUGGGCAGGGGAGAGGUGCCAAUGCUGGGAACCAGGACCCCAGAAGGAAAUCCCACAGUCAUCACUUAAAAGUCACUCCUGCCCUGCUCCUUCUCACCUUCCUUUUUGCCUCUAGAAAUUUAUUUAAAAGCCAGAAGCGGGAUUUAGACGUUAGAGCAGCUACUGACCUGAUACGAGUUAAUGAUUUUACAAAAUGCCUAAAAAAUGUCUUACUUUAAAAGAUUGAUGUUUCCUAUUGUAUUUUUUCAAUGCCAAUUAAUUACUUAAUUCAUUAGCAAUGUAACACAAGAAUAGUCUUUGAAAAUCCAGUGCUUUGUGUAGAUGCCUUUAAUUAUGGAUAAUUAAAUACUGUGGAAGGACCUGAU